rnacentral:rRNA from 1 species
GACGAACGCUGGCGGCGUGCCUAACACAUGCAAGUCGAACGCUACUGCCCUGCUUUUGUGGGGUGCUCGAGUGGCGAACGGGUGGGUAACACGUGAGUAACCUGCCCUUGACUUUGGGAUACCGUGAGGAAACUGGCGCUAAUACCGGAUCGGAUCCCCUGCUGCAGGGUGUGGGUCGGAAAGUAUCGGCGGUUGGGGAUGGCCGCGCGGGUUAUCAGCUUGUUGGUGGGGGAGUGGCUUACCAAGGCUUGGACUGGUAGCCGGCCUGGGAGGGUGACCGGCGCCAUGAGGACUGAGAGACGGACCAGACGCCAACGGGAGGCAGCAGUGGAGAAUCUUACCCAAUGGGCGGAAGUCUGAUGCAGCAACGCCGCGUGCGGGAUGACGGCCUGCGGGUUGUAAACCGCUUCCGCCUGUGACGAAGCGUGAGUGACGGUAAUUGGUAAAGAAGCACCGGCUAACUACGUG